CUCAUGUUCAUUCUGGGAUUCGCUAUUUCAGUUUUGCUUCAGUUCGUUGGCAUGCUAUACCAUAGGGUCUCCACCCUCAUUCACUACAUAGCGUUUUUGGAAACAGAGUUAAAACAACAAAAAUCUCCAGAUAAGCAGGUAAACUCUACCUCCAUUGCGGAUUCAAACUAUGAGAGGACUGACUAUACAAACUUAAGC